GGCAACAGCCUGCCAGCUCCCCCGUGCCUAAGCGAGAGCACCGUACUGCGGGGGCUUGAAACGCCAGCAUAGCCAGGAGCCCCUCCACCCCGCAAGCAUUUCUCUACGUAAACUUCGUGAGAUUUAAGAACUGUUUCUGAAUCAGAGACGUGGCGACAGAAGGUGGGGAAACUGGGGGCGAGCAACACGAGGUGCCCAACUGCCCAGCGCUCAGCACCAGAGCAGGAAGCCCUCCCCUUGCAGGGCGCCGGGGCGAGAACUGCACUCCGAGGGCUCCGGGAUGAAGGGACAGAUCUCCCCUUGCUCUUGCACCCCGAGAGCACUGGAAUGGAAGGACAGAGUUGACAUCAAAGGCAGUUAAUCCUGGAAACAGUUCUGCCCGUGUUUAACUUUAUGCACUGACCAUAACUUUGGACUCUAAUGCAAUUACAUCUAAUGUACAGCCUUUGGGAAACUGCUGCUCUACUGUUAAAGCCCGUAAGAGUUUUGUUGUCAACUUUGUUUAAAAUAUGGUGUGUGUAUAUAUGUGUGAGUGUGUGUAUGAAGUCACAAACAUGCUUAGUUCUUGCCAGAAUGAAGGCUGAAAACCUUACUACUGGGCAUAAAGUAGAAGCCCUGUAGCAUAAAACUUAAGUGACGUCUAGGAAAAUACAUCCCUUCUUACCUUUAAACCCAUCAUACAUUUUAAGACUGGAAAGGCUUAGUGGACAAAUAUGUUUGCUCCAGGAACUGUAGUUUUUGUGUUUAUAUGAAAUCACAAGCAUAUGCUUUACCAGAGAUGCUUGCUUCAGAUUUUAAUAUACAGAAAUUACUUCUUUUUGGUCAAAGGCUGGAUUCAAUGAUCUUUGAGGUCUUUUCCAACCUUAUUGAAUCUGUGGUUCUGUGAUUCUAAUGUCAGUAUUACUCUAGUAAUCAUGACUUUGUAUAAAUUGUUUUGAGCUUUCUUCAUUUUUGUCUUUACCUUUCAUUCUCCGUUAUCCUGACAAUCAUCCCAAGGAAGCAUAGGCAAUAUUCUCCUUAUUCUCUAUGCUGUUGUGUGUCAUAGAAGUUUUGAAGAGAAAAGAGCUUUUCCUUCAACACAGAAAUAUACCUGUCUGACAGUUUAAGAGUGCUCAAGUGAAAGACAAGAAGGUCAGCACAGUUUUCCACUGGUGUUCCUUGCACUGCUUCUAUGCCCCAUGGUAUGCUGCUGCAGAUGCCAAGCAGAAUUGGGACAGCAUGUGGGAGAGCUGACCACCACCUCUCCUGCUCUACAGAAUAUUUCACUGCUCAGCACCUUAUUAACCCCUACAGUGACAUAAAGCUCUCAGACUAAGAGUUCAGCUCUGUGGUUGUAUUUUUGCUUUGUGACCUAUGUAAAAUGUAAGUUCACUUACGUAAGACUAUCUGAAAAUGCUGUCCUUGGUUACAGUGCUAGAAAUCCAUUGCCUAUCUGGAGUUAGUCCAUGAGGGAAAUCCUAGAUCUAUUGCAGGCAACCAGAGGUUUGCUGCUGACGUCAGUAGCAUUGGGAAUUCUCUUUUGUGGCCCUAGGAGCACUUGCUAUUCCUGAUUGACCAGUGUACUGAUGAAGUGUCUUAAUGUUUGUCCUCAGACAUGAACGUGUGGGUUACUGAAUGAAAAACUUCUUACAGAAACACUCAGCAUUACUCUGAUUUCAUAUUUUCACUGAAAUUUCUAAUAAGUAAUAAUCUAGUGGUAUUAGUACAGCUUUAUGUUGUUCUCAGGUGGGUCAGCAACAGAAAACAUCUAAGCAAAUAAAACUUCUUGACACCAAAAGAGAGACAAUCCUUGGUAGCUCAGAGGAAAAAACAAGUAAAUUAAGUAGAAGUAGAUUAUGACUUUCUUGACAAACUUCAAUAGCAACUAAUUGCUUUUUGUCUUGUUUCAAAGGAGCAAAUUAGCUGAGAAGUACAAAAGCAGAAAUUCUGUAAACCAACAAAAAAAUUUUGCUACUCAAACUACCAUCCAUCCCAUUCCUACUUGUUCUCCCUACAUGCAUUAUCAGUGAGUCAGUUUUGGGUCUUUGCAUGUGAUGCAUGUUAACAUUUUUCCUAAUAAUCUCACAAUCCUGUCUGUUCAUGUGCAUGCAACCAAAAGAGCUACAGAAAUAAAGGUUACUGCUUGUUUCAGUCUAAGUUGUGAUAAAUAUGAAAUGCUUGUAAAACUGGAAAACUUUCAUUUGAAUAUAGGUUUUGUGGCUUUUCUAAGUAAAUAUAGGGAAAAUAUUAUGUCUUUGCGGUAUGCUUGCAAAGACUAAUUGGCCCACAUCUGUCACCUCCUGAGGAUACAAUGUUAUACUAAGUUUAUUUAAAUAACUGAAAAUUUUAGAAACUAAAUAUGGAAGUAUAUACAAAGGAUCAGGUGCUCAAGAUUAGCUUCCAAAGUAGACUUACAGAAAAACUGUUUAUUUAGGGAAAAGCAGCAACAUCAUCUCUUCUGUAUCUCUUUUAUUAAUUUUCUAAAAUGUACCAAUCAAAACUGUAAAAAUAGCCCCUUUAAUCAAACUGUGUUAGUUAAGAGGUGAACUAUUCUGUGUUUUUUCCUUUGUAACAGCCAUUUUUACAUUAUAACCCUGAGAAGAUGUUGGUAAAGGAGUGUUGACAGAAACAAAGAUUAUGAUACAAGAGAUUUAAAAAAAUCCUCAACAAAACCUACAUCUGCUGUAUUGUAUUUCUGCCAGAUUAUUUACAAGAAUAAUCUUAGUUUUUAAAGAAAAAGAAAAUCUGCAUUUUGAGAAUCAGUCAGCAUAACAUAUUAUCUGAUACUUUUGGAAUAAUGAACAAUAAGAAACUAAGCAAGCUUUAGGCACCGCAGCAGAAAACACAUGCUGAUACAAUGGAAGAGCCAAAAGAGAGGAAAACAAGAAAAAAAAUAUUGGCUUUAAAUGCUGGAAAGCAGGUCUCUGCUUCUCAUCCACAGCAUAAUAGCCCACACAAUGCACCAAUUUUGAAGCAGCGCCUUUUCAAUAGCAACACAACUUUCAUUUUCACUGCAGGAUGCCACAGGCAGUUGGAGUUUGAAAUAUGUAUGCUGGUCACAUGCAAACACGCCACAAUGUGCUGGAAAUCUGCCACUUGUUUAUGAUUUCCCAUCUUGUACAUGGCAUGGUCUCAACUAUUUAGAGCAGAGUUAAUAUUUUUUCCAUAUGUAUCAAAAUAACUCUGGCCUUUCUAUUUAUUAGUGCAUGUAAGCCUUCUCCCCGUCCCCUCCUUUCUAGCGAGGUCUGUGCUGUAAAGGUUUUCAUGUGAGAAGGCGGCCGUCCAACAGUUCUAGCCUCAAACUUGGUUACUCAAAUGCUACUUCUGCUAUCACAAACCACAAAUCAUUCUGUUCAGUGAAUAAAGCAACGGAAAGAGCAAAGCGAGAAAGUGUUUGCAGCUGGCUGUUCUGUUGUGAUCCACACACUGAGCAAUGGGGCAUGUAUAUGUGCACACGCAGGCUCCAGCCAGGCUCCAUAUACAUGGCGCUGCUUCUGGUGCAAGGCUUUGGCUCCUUCAUCGUCACUCUGCUGCAGUUUACAUCAUGUCUUCAAAUCCUUACUGAUCUGAUGUCAACAUUACUUCCUACAUGCAUCUCAAAUAAGAAUAUGGUCAUGCUCUACAAGGGAGGAAUUCUCAGCUCCUGGCUGCUGUCUGCCACAGCAGUGAUUUAAAACAGACACGUCUUUCAGCAAACCUCCAUGUUUUCGUAGUAAAAUAUGAGAUCCGUUUAAAAAGGACCUAAAAUUCACUGUCCAUCACAUUUGUAUUUUAACGCCUACACACUGUAGACAGAGACCUCAGUCAAUUAAUCUUUCUAGAAUGAUGCUCUGACAAAGCAGUUUGAUUGUGAAAAACUGCAACUGUUUUCAGAGCAAUAUCAGGUUUUUUCCUUAGUGGCCCCAUGGCUACGAGAAAAUAUUUGGCAUAACCCUGAGAGUUUAUUUAGCUUGCAGAACACUGGCAAUCCACUUUAAAACCAAAAUGAUGUCUUGUCAAUUAAUAAUUUAACAUUCCACACUAAUAUAAUGCCAUGCAUGCAAACCAUUUGAACAGACUUCUUCAGCAAUGAGGUCCAUGGCCUCUCUUCAUUUACCCAAUAGUCACAAUAAAAUUCUCUUGAACAACAGAAUAUUUAAUAUUCAGAGAGUGACAAUACACAAGUGCAUGGUAAACAGUCACCAGCUACAGCACUUUAGUACCUCGUCUUAGGAUUUUGGUUCAAUCAUAUGCAUUUCCAUGUAUUUCUCAUAUAUUUCCAAGUUGCUAUUUAUAUACAUGGCUGAUCCUGCCUGAUCUGCACCUUAAGUCAUGAGCCAACCACCCUCAUAACUUUACCCACUGAAACAGAAAUGAGCAGGGCUUCAGCCAAGCACAUGUGUACGCAGAGGCACCCAGAGGAGUUUGGUGGAUGCUUAUGGAGGCAGAAGGCUUCAUAGUCUGUAUUUUAUCCCUGGCCUCCCAUAAAAAAAGCUUCCUUUUGCAUACAGGCCUUGGGCACCAGGCUGCCUGUGCCCAAAGAGAAGACAUUAAAAAGGUUCUCAUACAAACAAGGAUGAAGAUUGUCACAAGGGAAGGUUUUAUGCAGUUUCCAAAAAUGCUGUACUUCGAUGUAAAGGUGUUCAAGACGUGCAACCGAGGGGGAGGAGGAGGAGGAGAAGCGUUUUAAAGACGGUCGGGUUCCUCCUGCCAUUCGCUCAGUAAAUGACCUGUCAGUUUGAUGCAAACGCUCUCCCUGCGACGCCCCAGCUUGGGCGGGGGCAGGGAUGGGGAGAAAGGAGGGGAGGAAGAAGAAAAUUGCUCGACAG